GUGCCAGCCGCCGCGGUAAUACGUAGGUGGCGAGCGUUGUUCGGAUUUAUUGGGCGUAAAGGGUCCGUAGGGGGUAAGGCAAGUCUGAUGUGAAAUCCCGCGACUCAACCGCGGAACUGCAUUAGAAACUGUUUUACUAGAGGACCGGAGAGGAAAGUGGAAUUCCUGGUGUAGCGGUGGAAUGCGUAGAUAUCAGGAAGAACACCGAUAGCGAAGGCAGCUUUCUGGACGGUACCUGACCCUGAGGGACGAAAGCGUGGGUAGCAAACAGGAUUAGAAACCCCUGUAGUCC
rnacentral:rRNA from 1 species